rnacentral:rRNA from 1 species
AUUGAACGCUGGCGGCAGGCCUAACACAUGCAAGUCGAGCGGAGCGGCGGACGGGUGAGUAAUGCAUCGGAAUCUGCCUGGUAGUGGGGGAUAACUACGGGAAACGGGCGCUAAUACCGCAUACUAUCAGAUCAGCCUAGGUCGGAUUAGCUAGUUGGUGGGGUAAAGGCCAACCAAGGCGACGAUCCGUAGCUGGUUUGAGAGGAUGACCAGUCACACUGGAACUGAGACACGGUCCAGACGCCUACGGGAGGCAGCAGUGGGGAAUGUUGGACAAUGGGCGAAAGCCUGAUCCAGCCAUGCCGCGUGUGUGAAGAAGGGCUUCGGGUUGUAAAGCACUUUAGGUUGGGAGGCGUUACCAACAGAAUAAGCACCGGCUAACUACGUGCCAGCAGCCGCGGUAAUAC